UCCCUGGUGUCUAGUGGCUAAGGAUCCUGUGCUCCCAUCACCGCGGCCCGGGUUCGAUUCCCAGAAAGGGAA